AAUAGAAGUAGAUGACUGCAACAGGACAGAGAGUGCGAAUCAUUGUUACUCGUCACAGAUGCUGUUUCCAGUUCAGGAUGUGCUUUUCUUGCCUAAUGGGUCUUUACAGAGACACUGCAGAGCCAGGGCUGGAAAAGAUCUGCAUUCUCUUCAGUGUCUGCUUUGCUGUGAGCAAGGUCUAACACGUUUACUGUACUGAAUGGAAUUUAAAGCAUUAUCUUGCUGACAAAAAUGCACAUGGCCUUGCUAGAUACCAAGUUAGCAAAUCGAGGAAUUGUAGGUUACCUGGAGGAAAAGUGUUCGAAGCUCUGUGGGUAAGACAGGUUGAAAUGAAAAUUUGGUCUGUUUUUGUCAAACUUAAUGUUCAUCUGAGAAACAUGUAUUCUCCAGACAUGUACAAGUAUAUUUAGGUAAGAACAGCCAUAUAAAAAGAAUUAUCUGUUUUUAAGAAGA